rnacentral:rRNA from 1 species
AAAACUUACCAGGUCAAGACAUGGGCGUGAUUGACAGGCUAAUGACUUUUCUCGAUUCCAUGGAUGGUGGUGCAUGGUCGCACUUAGUUGGUGCAGUGAUUUGUCAGGUUUAUUCCGGUAACGAACGAGACCUCGGCCUUGUAAAUAGCUAUGCUGCUUACAGGGACAUUGGCGGCUACGCCAAGGAAGCUCGAGGCAAUUGCAGAUCUGGAAUGCCCUUAGAUGUCCUGGGUCGCACGCGUGCUACAAUGACGCCACGAACGAGCUUGCGUGAUGAAAGUUACGCAUAAUCAGCAGUCGGCGUCUUAAGGGAUAGUCUCUUGUAACUGUGGGACUCCAACUAGGAAUGUCUCGUAAGCACAAGUCAACAUCUUGUGUUGAUUACGUCCCUGCUCUUUGUACACACCGCCCGUCGCUCCUACCGAUCGAGUGUUUAGGUGAAUUUGAUGGACGUAAGGAAGUCAAAUAAACCUGAGCACUAGAGAAGAGAAGUCGAGACC